rnacentral:rRNA from 1 species
UACGUAGGGUGCGAGCGUUGUCCGGAAUUAUUGGGCGUAAAGGGCUCGUAGGCGGUUUGUCGCGUCGGGAGUGAAAACACACAGCUUAACUGUGUGCUUGCUUCCGAUACGGGCAGACUAGAGGUAUGCAGGGGAGAACGGAAUUCCUGGUGUAGCGGUGAAAUGCGCAGAUAACAGGAGGAACACCGGUGGCGAAGGCGGUUCUCUGGGCAUUACCUGACGCUGAGGAGCGAAAGUGUGGGGAGCGAACAGG